ensembl:miRNA
CUAAUCAGGAAGCUUGGUGGUGUGGUACACACCUGUAAUUCCAGCUCCUGGGGAGGCUGAGGCAGGAGGAU